UGGGGAAUAUUGCACAAUGGGCGCAAGCCUGAUGCAGCCAUGCCGCGUGUGUGAAGAAGGCCUUUGGGUUGUAAAGCACUUUCAGCGGGGAGGAAGGUGAUAAGGUUAAUAACCUUGCCGAUUGACGUUACUCGCAGAAGAAGCACCGGCUAACUCCGUGCCAGCAGCCGCGGUAAUACGGAGGGUGCAAGCGUUCAUCGGAAUUACUGGGCGUAAAGCGCACGCAGGCGGUCUGUCAAGUCGGAUGUGAAAUCCCCGGGCUUAACCUGGGAACUGCAUUCGAAACUGGCAGGCUAGAGUGUAGUAGAGGGGGGUAGAAUUCCAGGUGUAGCGGUGAAAUGCGUAGAGAUCUGGAGGAAUACCGGUGGCGAAGGCGGCCCCCUGGGCAAAGACUGACGCUCAGGUGCGAAAGCGUGGGGAGCAAACAGG
rnacentral:rRNA from 1 species